GCACAAGCAGUGGAGUAUGUGGUUUAAUUCGACGCAACGCGAAGAACCUUACCAAGUCUUGACAUCCUGCGACGCACAUAGAAAUAUGUGUUUCCUUCGGGACGCAGAGACAGGUGGUGCAUGGUUGUCGUCAGCUCGUGUCGUGAGAUGUUGGGUUAAGUCCCGCAACGAGCGCAACCCUUAUGGUCAGUUACUACGCAAGAGGACUCUGGCCAGACUGCCGUUGACAAA
rnacentral:rRNA from 1 species